CCGUCUGCAUUAAGCGCUUAACCAGGUAGUGUUGACUACUGCUCCGAACCACCUAGUAGCAGAGAGACAUCCCCAGCGCUAAGGCCUCCUUGCUUUUCGUAAAGCGCUCCAGUCGAAGUUGAUGCGGUGCCACAAGAAGUCAUGCAAUCUUUACUAAAAGGAAUGAAGACUGAAACCAUCCCUCACAGGCCAGAGACAAAGGGCUGAUUCAUCCAAGGCCUCGCCUCUCCAAGACAAAAGGGGUAAAACAAUCAAUCGGCAACCUCCAUCGCUUCCUUCCCUGUUACUGUACCUGUCGACUGACGUCUUACCAGACAUGGUUAGAUCUGUCUGUAUUUGUCUAAUACUGUCUGGUAAUGCCGUCCAUUGCAGGCUGAGACAUCUCCUCUUCGAAUCUUCUCCCAUCAUCUCCUGCAUUAUGGUAAUAUUAAAAGCUAAUUGCCAUAAGUGGACCAUAGAUUAGAAAUAUUAGCAUAUUCAUGUUAUAGACUAGUAGCAUUAAUAAGCAGUGCAAGUACAGUGGCUUUGGUAAGGAGAACACAGCUUAGUGAUCGUGAUAAUCAUCCUGCAUAAUACUUUUCAUAGAGUCUGCAGUGUUUAAUAACUUUUUAAUAACAUUUUUUUGCAGUGGAUUUGUACAUAAAUACCUAGAUAAUGUGUGUGUACUGUAUGUCUAUAUAUAUAAUCUUUGGAUAACUUGCAUGCAGUUUGUGUUUUGUUAAGUUUCUGAACGCUGUGCAUAGUAUUCUUAUAUAUUUCGUAAUAUUUUUGAUGUCUUUUUAAUUUUUUUUUUCAUAUCAGUUAAUGUAGAUACUUAUCAAUCAUAUAAUUCGUCAUUAUUUCUAUACUUCUGGGCUCAAUUUUUAUUUAAAAUUACAUUCAAAUUGCCCUUAAUACAUAUUCAGAACAUGAAGAAAAGGAAAAUUUGAUGGGCUCCAAAUCAAAAUCUAAUUUUAAUAAAUGAAUCACACAAAAAUAAACAGGGGAGGCAUGGUGGUGCAGUGGUUAGCACUGUUGCCUCACACCUCUGGGACCCGGGUUUGAGUCUCCGCCUGGGUCACAUGUGUGUGGAGUUUGCAUGUUCUCCCCAUGUCGUCGUGGGGUUUCCUCUGGGUACUCCGGUUUCCCCCCACAGUCCAAAAACAUGCUGAGGCUGAUUGGAGUUGCUAAAUUGCCCAUAGGUGCGCAUGUGUGAGUGAAUGGUGUGUGAGUGUGCCCUGCGAUGGGCUGGCCCCCCAUCCAGGGUUGUUCCCUGCCUCGUGCCCAUUGCUUCCGGGAUAGGCUCCGGACCCCCCGCGACCCAGUAGGAUAAGCGGUUUGGAAAAUGGAUGGAUGGACAAAAAUAAACAUUUUUGUUAUAGAAAAUGCGGGCAGUGUGCUCUUUGGUCUGUUUUUCUCUGAUUGCCUCACUGCUCGUUCCUCUGAGAUUGGUUGGAAUUGCAAUUCUGUGACAUGGUAUGCUGUUAUAAUAAUUGAUAUUUUAUUGAUCCCUGUGGGGAAAAUUCCCGUCAUGCCCCCCCCAACUUUCUCUCUCUAAAUGAAAGCAAGCUGGCUGCAAAAGGCAGCCAGCUAUAACAGUGCCUAAGGAGCUGAUGCCUGAGGGCCUGACUUACAGUGAAGACGCAGAUGUAUCCAGGCCGGGCCUUAACUGGCAACCUUAUACUGUAGGUCAGAGGCACCCAGGGUUAGCCCAUUUAGUCACACACUGCCUCCAUACAGUUACAUGCUAUCAUGCAAUGUUCCUUAUCUAGAGUUUAUUGACGUUUUUCAUUUUCUUAUCAUUUAAAUUGUACUUGACCAUAAGUCGAUAUAUCAUUUAUAUCGCCCAGCCCUACUACCUUAGUAAUUAUGUCAACUAUUGCACAUUAAAAGUGACUGUUGUGACAUGUGUUUCAUGUAUCCCAGCCCAUUUGAUUGUAUGGAUUAUUCAUUUAGUAAUGAACUAUAUAUUUCUGUUUUAAAUGUACAGUAGUGAUAAGCACAGUUCACAUUAUGAAUAAAGAUAUUAAAACAUUUUUAAACAUUAA